rnacentral:rRNA from 2 species
UGUGUCGUGAGGCAUGCUGGAGGUAUCAGAAGUGCGAAUGCUGACAUAAGUAACGAUAAAGCGGGUGAAAAGCCCGCUCGCCGGAAGACCAAGGGUUCCUGUCCAACGUUAAUCGGGGCAGGGUGAGUCGACCCCUAAGGCGAGGCCGAAAGGCGUAGUCGAUGGGAAACGGGUUAAUAUUCCCGUACUUGGUGUUACUGCGAAGGGGGGACGGAGAAGGCUAUGUUGGCCGGGCGACGGUUGUCCCGGUUUAAGCGUGUAGGUGUGUGUUCCAGGUAAAUCCGGUUCACUUUAACACUGAGGCGUGACGACGAGGCACUACGGUGCUGAAGCAACAAAUGCCCUGCUUCCAGGAAAAGCCUCUAAGCAUCAGGUAACAUCAAAUCGUACCCCAAACCGACACAGGUGGUCAGGUAGAGAAUACCAAGGCGCUUGAGAGAACUCGGGUGAAGGAACUAGGCAAAAUGGUGCCGUAACUUCGGGAGAAGGCACGCUGACACGUAGGUGAAGUGAUUUACUCAUGGAGCUGAAGUCAGUCGAAGAUACCAGCUGGCUGCAACUGUUUAUUAAAAACACAGCACUGUGCAAACACGAAAGUGGACGUAUACGGUGUGACGCCUGCCCGGUGCCGGAAGGUUAAUUGAUGGGGUCAGCGCAAGCGAAGCUCCUGAUCGAAGCCCCGGUAAACGGCGGCCGUAACUAUAACGGUCCUAAGGUAGCGAAAUUCCUUGUCGGGUAAGUUCCGACCUGCACGAAUGGCGUAAUGAUGGCCAGGCUGUCUCCACCCGAGACUCAGUGAAAUUGAACUCGCUGUGAAGAUGCAGUGUACCCGCGGCAAGACGGAAAGACCCCGUGAACCUUUACUAUAGCUUGACACUGAACAUUGAGCCUUGAUGUGUAG